GGCCAAAAAUGAAAGCCGGAAGGAAGCAUCCCACACAGAGACCCAGAGAGACACCUCAAUCUCCAACAUUUUCCCCGUCCACUUUUUGCGUUAAGCGAGGCGGAAACAAUACAAAAAUAAAGCUGUGUAAAUAUAUAAAAAGUUGGCAAGAAGGGAAUAGAAUGGCGGAUAGGGCUAAAUGGAAGGCCAAUAGCACUCGACGAGACAUCGAGAGCCACAACAAUUAUGGCGAAAGUUAAAUAAGUCGGACUAUGCAAUGUCGAACCAGCAGAUACCCUGUACUAUGGCUCAUAAAAUCAAUAAAUAUCUGAGAUCAUAUU
ensembl:ncRNA lncRNA:CR46124 long non-coding RNA:CR46124